rnacentral:rRNA from 1 species
GGAGGGUGCGAGCGUUAAUCGGAAUUACUGGGCGUAAAGGGUGCGUAGGUGGUUUGAUAAGUUAUCUGUGAAAGCCCUGGGCUCAACCUAGGAAGGCCAGAUAAGACUGUUAGACUCGAGUAUGGGAGAGGGUAGUGGAAUUUCCGGUGUAGCGGUGAAAUGCGUAGAGAUCGGAAGGAACACCAGUGGCGAAGGCGGCUACCUGGCCUAAUACUGACACUGAAGCACGAAAGCGUGGGGAGCAAACAGGAUUAGAUACCCUGGUAGUCCACGCCGUAAACGAUGUCAACUAGCUGUUGGUCAUAUGAAUGUGAUUAGUGGCGAAGCUAACGCGAUAAGUUGACCGCCUGGGGAGUACGAUCGCANGAUU